rnacentral:lncRNA from 1 species
AUAUCUAAAUGCUAGACAUUUGAAUGUAUAUUCUAAUGUACGUCUGUACCAUGACAUUGUUAAAUUCAUAUUUGGCUCUUUAGGGGGUCUCUUUAUUAAAAGCACUUACAGGGUUAAAUGUGGCAACAGAUUUGUUACCAAACAGGUUUCUCUUGGCUUUUUUUAUCAGAGUGUGCGUCUGGAUCUUUCGGCCUUUAAAGAGGUGGACUCCUCCAGCUAUGCGAAUGCUCUGAACAAGUUGCAACAGCUGAGACGAGAAAGGAAUCAAAAAGAGUUCCAAGCAAGUGUUGUACCUGGAACACAAAUCUGCUCACCUGCUCAGACUGGAAGCUCGUGUCCACUUAUUCUGUGUGUGGUAGGUGGAAGACUGUAAAAUAAUGCAAGGGUUAAAAUAGAAUUGUUUUUGAACACUUCUUUUAACAGAGCUUUGUGUUCAAGCAUAGUUCUUCACUGCAAGGCAUUAUGAGCUUAGCUGCUUCCUGUGAGUCACACACAGGGCUUAUGUACAUUUCAGCGAAAAUGAAACUGACAGUUCCAGUAUAUUCAGUAAAAUGAAACCAUCACACUGAGGAGUGGAGGCUUAGUGCCUCUGCUGCUUGAUAUGAUUAAAUGCUUGCUUUGUAUAAUUAGAUCUUUUUUCUUUCUUUUUGCAGGAAUGUAACCAGAAAUUCUCCUUAAUAUCUGAUUACGAAAGACAUAUUAAUGAAAGUCAACACAAACAGAAACUCGCUGAGCUGUUUGAACCAGCCCAGUAUAGUGGUACGUAUUUCCUUUAGUAACAUGAAAAAAAAAAACCUUUGCAAAAAACUGCACAAUAAUGCUUUUACUCUCUGCAUUCAGUGAAAACACACAUGAUUUAUUGAGCACACAAGCCCAGAGCAGUUGGCAGCCAGUAAUGUGGUGCCUAUUAGAUAAUGAGGGUUAAGGCUUUGCUCACUUGGCAAAACCCUGAUAUAGACCCCACAAGCCUUUUAUUAUUAAUAAUAUUAUCAAGACUUUUAAAAUAAUAAACACCUGAGACAGUGCUGACUCUUCA